rnacentral:rRNA from 1 species
AUUGAACGCUGGCGGCAUGCUUUACACAUGCAAGUCGAACGGCAGCGCGGGCUUCGGCCUGGCGGCGAGUGGCGAACGGGUGAGUAAUGCAUCGGAACGUGCCCAGUAGUGGGGGAUAGCCCGGCGAAAGCCGGAUUAAUACCGCAUACGACCUGAGGGUGAAAGCGGGGGACCGAAAGGCCUCGCGCUAUUGGAGCGGCCGAUGUCGGAUUAGCUAGUUGGUGGGGUAAAGGCUUACCAAGGCGACGAUCCGUAGCUGGUCUGAGAGGACGACCAGCCAAACUGGAACAGAGACACGGUCCAGACUCCUACGGGAGGCGGCAGUGGGGAAUGUUGGACAAUGGGCGAAAGCUUGAUCCAGCCAUGCCGCGGGUGUGAAGACGGUCUUCUGAUGGUAAAGCACUUUAAGUUGGGAAGAAGGGCAGUAAGUUAAUACCUUGCUGUUUUGACGUUACCAACAGAAUAAGCACCGGCUAACUUCGUG